GACGUAGGAUGCAAGCGUUGUCCGGAUUUAUUGGGCGUAAAGAGUUCGUAGGCGGUUUGUUAAGUCUGGUGUUAAAGAUCAGGGCCCAACCCUGGGACUGCAUUGGAUACUGGCAGACUGGAGUGCGGUAGAGGUAAGUGGAAUUUCUGGUGUAGCGGUGAAAUGCGUAGAUAUCAGAAAGAACAUCGGUGGCGUAGGCGACUUACUGGGCCGUAACUGACGCUGAGGAACGAAAGCCAGGGGAGCGAAUGGG
rnacentral:rRNA from 1 species